rnacentral:misc_RNA from 1 species
UGUGGGAGCGGGCUUGCUCGCGAUGCAGGCCGUGCGGUCCGUCAGGCAAACCGCACUGAUCCCAUCGCGAGCAAGCCCGCUCCCACA